rnacentral:rRNA from 1 species
CGUUAGAUGUUUGAGAGGGCUUGAUUCUAGUACGAGAGGACCGAAUUGAACAAACCUCUGGUGUAUCAGUUGUACCGCCAGGUGCACCGCUGAGUAGCUACGUUUGGAAGAGAUAAUCACUGAUUGCAUAUUAGUGAGAAAAUCGCCUCAAGAUGAGACAUCUUUUAAGGGUCGUUGUAGAUGACGACGUUGAUAGGCUAUAGGUGUAAAGACAGUAAUGUCAUAGCCAAGUAGUACUAAUUACCCGUAGAUUUAUAGUC